GACUGUUUGUUUGUAAUAGCAGACUCUUUUCUUUUUUAGUUACUUUAACUCUUAGAGGAAAUAUGCAAACCUUUUUUGGAAGAAGACAACACAGGUCAUGCUGAAACACUGAGACCCUGGCAGGGAGGGGGCUGCGACCCGCUUCUGUGCUGCGGAGACUACUCCGGCCUCCUGGUCCUCCCGCAAGAACCUCUUUUGCGGCCACACUUGUGUGCAUUUCUCCAGCUUACCUGAACUGCCAGCUCUGGGGACCGGCAGCUCCUGCUCAGGAGGAACGCUGCAGUCAGCAUCCCUGCCUCUGCCAGGCAGCUUCAUCACUUUAGGGCGGCUUCUGACGGUCCUAACUGAGGCGCAAGAGACAGACCUGACUCUUCGUUUCCAGUUAGUGUUGCACAAGCUUCCCCCAGAGCUGCAGCUCUCGUUUUAGGUCUUGUAAGCGUGCUUGAUGCUCAGUCCUAAGAGCACUGAUUUCCACGGAGAAUAUGGUUGACUCUUUAACCCCAGGACCAGUGAGAGCUACCUUUUCUGGGAGCUGUGCUCAUCAGUGAGGUGAGUUUCAGAUAAUCUGCCUGCAGGGAAGACAAAGAAAAAGAUCAUUCUUAAUCCUGGACAUUUCUUGACCUACUUCCCAGAUGUUUCCUUCCCUACUGCUAUCUGCGUUCUGUAAGAACACAAGUUUUGCAAGGAAAAUUCCUGUGUGACUGUUAGUAGGUAAAUGCAAUUUUGUUUAUUGGAUGCUUUAGAAAACAUAAAGAACAGCUAAGUGCACAGACUGUUGCAUCCAAAUGAUUUACUGCUUUGCCUUUUAUAGCUCUUGAUUACAUCAGGUUGUUGCAUCAAUAUCUUGUCUAUUACAUUUCAGCCUGAUGGGCCAGUGAGGCGAGGGAUAUUAUUGCUGGGUGGAUUUUUCUGCUAGGGUGGCAACUCAAAUAGCUUUUCAAGGGAAUGUGGUGCAGAUCCCCCAAAUUUGGGAAAACAAUUUAAACUCAUGCAUGUUCGGAUGCUUGUCCAACCCAUAGAACUAAAAUUAAAAUACAUUGUUUUCAUG